rnacentral:lncRNA from 1 species
CCACAUUACCCAAAAGAAAAUAUACAUCACCAAAGUUAUGCUGAAGUCGGGAUUAAUCUGGAUGCUAAACCGGGACCUUUGACUUCUAUCGACCUGCGCACGGAAACAACCGUACGCUGAGUAUUUCAUACUCAGUGGUAUUACCAUAAUUCAAAUUAUAACAAUAAUAAACAUGUAAUGCAUAAUUCGUAUAUACAAUUUAAAUUCAAUAUUUCAACAAUAGCAAUUCAUCAACCAAUAUCGUAUAUCCACAAUUUGAGUUUGAAUAAAUCAUGAACCUUAGGUUCAUUUCUCAAUCUCAUUUCACAUUUCAAUUCACAAUUCAACUUUUUCAUAUCAUUUCAAUAGCUCGUUUGACCAACUCGUUCGGUUUAUCAUUUCAUCAUUUACCCUAUUAACAAAACUCGGACUUUGGCGGAUACACGGAUCCAACCAAACACACCAGAAUGGCACCCAGUGCCUCAUCGGAUAGUUCGAAGCAAUAGUUGACACCCAGUGUCUCAUCGGCCAAGCCGAAGUAAGUUGGUACCCAGUACCUCAUCGAAUCUAUCCGAAGAAAUAUAGUGACACCCAGUGUCUCAUCGACCCGAGGUCGAAGUAUCCCUGAACUCUUCCAAUCCUAUGGCAUGCCAACUAUAUCCGACUCAGCCCGACUAGUUAAUAGGGUAUUUAAAUCACAUAUAUUCUCAAUUCAAUCACAAUUUCUCACAUUUUCAAUUCAAUCAUUUUUCCACCUUUCAAUCAAUAAUUAUUUCACAAAUUCACACAUUUUCACAACUCAAUACAUUUUCAUAAAAUUUAAUACCAUUUACAAUUCGAUUCAAAUUCAUUUCCCGCUUUCAAUCAACAAACACUUCAAAUAUUAUUUCAUAUCAACUAUUCAAUUUAAUUCCCACUCAUAAUAAUAAUAAUAAUACUAAUAAUUAUAUUAAUACUAAUAUUAAUACUUACUUCACAUUUCAUUUACUAAACACAUAAAUUAAAAUUUAACAUUUAAAAUAAAUAAUUUGAAUUAUAGUAAUACAAACCGUAAAUCUCCCGCUUUAGUCCUCGAUAGCUUUCCCUUUUCCUUUUGAUGGCGAUGCCUCGGGUUCUUUAUUAGCUACGAAAAUAAUAAUAAUUUAUACUAUUAAUUAUAGCACUAAUUAUAGUAAAUAAUUGAAUUUCUAUUCAAUUUCUUCCUAAUUCUCAAUUUAAUCCUAACUAAAUUCACUUACUUUCCUAAUUCAAUUCACACUCUAUUUCUAUUCAAAUUUCAUCCAAACUAAAAUUUAACUAUCAAAAUUUCAGCAUAUUUUUCUAAUUUCGAAUUUCUCUAAAUUUAGUCCUUAAAACAUAAAACUUAUAGUUUCUUUUACAAUUUAAUCCCUUUUUCAAUUCUAACUUAAAAUUCCUUCAAUUUAAUCCCUAAUUCAUCUCUUUUGUUCAACAUAAACUAUUCUUGAAAACCUAUGAACUUACAAAAUAUCAACUUGAUUCCAUCAAAACUUUGUUUUAAAGCUUUUAAAACAUUAGAACUAAGAGAAAAGGGCUAAUUUGACUUACCAAAUUAACUCCAAGCUUUAAAAAUCUAUUUUCCCCUUUUCCUUUCUUUUUUCUUCUUUCUUCCCCUGUUUCGUUUGCUUCUCUGUUUCUUUGUUCUUUCUAUUCUGUUUCUUUUGUUUUGUUUUUAUUUCUUUACUUUCUUUUAUUUACUUUACUUUAUUUCUUUUAUUAUAACUAAUAAUAUUAAUAAUAAUAAAAAUCUUUUACUUAUUAUUUAAGCAUAUAUAUUUAUUUUUAUUACAAGUGUACCUAUGUAAUUAUUACUAUUACACUUGUCUUAAUCUUUACCAUACAUUUGUCAUCUAUUUAAUUUAUAUAAUAUAAUACAAUACAAUAUAUUAUAUUAUAUAAUAAAAUAAUAUAAAUAAAACAUAAAAAUUUAAGAUUUUUAUCACUUUUACCGUCCCACUUCUUAUUAAUGGCUUAAUUUCCAUUUUAAUCAUUUUUAUUUUCUUUUGAUUUAUAAUUAGACUUUUACCCUUUAUUCAUUUUAAUCCUUUUUCCUAAUUACUCUUAAUUAAGCUAAAUUCACCUUUCUAAAACCUAAUUAAAUACACAACUAGUCUAGUAAAUAUUUCUAAUAAUUAUUUUCAGACUCAGUUUACUAAGACGGAGGCCCGAUAUUAUACUUUUCUGAUGCCCGUGAAUUUUGGGUCAUUACAAAAACAACUUGCUUGAACUCAACACCCAGAAACUAGGGUUUCCAUGUCUUUCAAUUGGGAAAGAUGAUAUAAAAUGAUGAUAUUAAAUAUUUAUUUUAUUUAUCAUCUUUUAUUUAUUUACUUUCCAAUUUAGUCUUUUUCUUUUCUUAAAUUUCCAUGGAUGAGUCAUCAUACUUAUCUACUAACUCCUCUUAAUGGUCUAUUUACCAUAUAAGGACCUCCAAUUUUGAAUUCCAUAGCUAUUUGAUACUUAUAGCUACUAGAACUCAACUUUUACCUUUCAUGCAAUUUAGUCCUUUUAUCAAUUAAACAUGUAAUUGGUAAAAUUUGCUUAACGAAAUUUUUAUACGAUAUUAUUAUCAUACUGUAAACCAUAAAAUAAUAUUAAAAUAAAUUUUCUUUCAGACUCAGAUUUGUGGUCCCGAAACCACUGUUCCGAUUUCACUGAAAACGGGCUGUUACACCCUUUCUACUUAAAAAUGGAAAAAUUAGCCCUUGUACGUAAGGAAAAAGUGCAAAUUGACCUGUACAAUUGAAAAUUCCAUCGAUGUAUGUUGUUAAGUGAUGCUUUUGCUUUUCAAUUUGUUAUACAAGUGACUUGGAAUUAAAUGAUGAGUAAGAUUAAAUAAAAGCACCAUGAAAACCCCUGUAUUAGGAGUCUGGUUACAUUUUACCCCCUUUACAAAAAAAGGGCAUAUUAGCCCUUGCACGUUAGAUCAAAGAGCAAACUAACCCUUUUGUUAAAAAUUCUAUACAUUUUUACUAUUAAUGCUCAUAUGGCUAAUGGAGGAACUAGCCACUAACACGUGGUGUGCCACAUGCACCUCAUGCUAACGUGACAAUAUUUAAAAAAAAUUAAAAAUCUUAAAAAUAAAUAUAUAAUUUUUAUAAGAGAAAAUAUUUGGUACACAACCAAUGGAGUUUUUAGACUCCACAAGCUGGGUUAGGGGUUGACCGAUGUUCUAUAAGGGUAUAAUAAAAUAUAAUAUAUAUAUUUAAAAUAAAAAAAUACAUGCCAAUUUUUUAAGGUUUUUAGUGGAAUAAAAAAAAUUACUGGUGUACCAAAUGCUCACUCUUUUUAUAAUUAUUUUAAAAAACCACAUCUAGUAUGAACCUAGGUAAAUGAUUGUCCUCGUUCAUUUCAUCCUAGACAUGGUUUUAAAUAAUAUAUAUAUAUAUAACACAAAGAAUUAUUUAAAGAUUAUGUAUGAUUUAUAAAAAUUUAAAUUAAUAAAAAUUAUUUAAAAGGUUCAAAAUGAUCCUAGACAAAUGGUUAUCCAAACUUGAUUGAACUUGGAUAACCAUUUGUCCAAGUUCAUUCUAGAGUGAUUUCUUAAAUAAAUAUUAAAAAAUAUUUAAUAAUUAUUAAUAAUUAUAAUAAAUUAUAUAUAAUGAUUAAAUUUUUAAAUAAUUUUAAAAAUAUAAAAUAUAUACACAUUUAGCAUGUUAAUAAUUAAAAUAUACUCAUACACAUGCGUAUCUUCUUAAUUGAGUUGAUAUUUUUAGUUAAUCAAGUUGAUGAACUCUGUUUUGUUAAUUUCUUAUAAUUCUUAAUAAAUUUUAAAUAAAAUUCUAUAAUUAUGUAUAAUUUUGUACAAUUAUUUAAGAAACAACUCAAUAAUGAGCAUAGACAAUUCAAUAAUUUUAAAUAAUUUUUAAUAAUUUCAAAAAAUAGAAUUUCUUAUAAAUUUAAUAUUUUUGAAAUAAUUUUCUAUAGUUUUUUUAUAAUUAUUUUAGAAACCACAUCCAAGAUGAACUUGAAAAAACACGUGUUUAGAUUCAUCUUGAAUGUGGCUUUUUAAAUAAUUAUUAAAAAUAUUUAUUUUUGAGAUUUUUUAAUUCUUAAAUAUCGUUGAUGUGACAAAACGUGCAACACCGGGAUGAGGUGCAUGUGACACAUCACGUAUUGCUAUUUGAUUAAUUCGUUAAUCACGUCAUCACUAAAAAAUAUAAAUGGAUUGAAUUAUUAAUAAAACGACCAGCUUGUUUUUUAAUCUAAAGUACAGAGACUAGUUUCCCUAAUUUUUUUAAUAGAAGGGGCAAAAUGUAAUUUUGACUCAUAGUACAAGAACCUUCAUGAUGUUUUUAUCUAAUCCUAUUCAUCCUUUAAUUCCACGUCACUUACAUAAAAAACUUUAAAAAAUAAAAAUCAUUACUUAACAACACACAUGGAUGAAAUUUUUAAUAGAAUGACUAAUUUGCAUUAUUCUUCUAACGUUUAGGGACUAAUUUACCCCUUUUUAAUAAAAGAACAAAAUGCAAUACGCCUCCUAAUAUAGAGACCUCCAUAAUACUUUUACUGUGUUAUAACGAAGUAUAAUAAAUAUAAAUUGCAUACAUAUACAAGUAUAGAAUGUACGAACUAGGAGACAAGAUAAACAAUAAUAUAUAAGCAAGCAUGGGCUUCAAACUCAAGAUUAAAAACCGUACAACUCGGACGAAACAUAUCAGAAACUCUUAUUGGUGUCCUCGGUAAAGAAUCUAAAUUAAAUUAAAUUAAAUUGUAAUUUUUAUAUUAUUAAUUUUUAAUAAUCUGCCCGGGCCAUUCCAAAAUAAUUUAGAAACCCAACUAAACAAAUUAAAGCCAAAAGCAAUAACAGAAUAACAGCAAAUAAUAGAGAUUAAAUAACAAAUAAUAUAAAAAAUAUUUUAUGUAAUUUCAUUUUAUUAUAUUCCGCUAUAUAAAGCAUUUUGUAGCACUGUAAAAGGGGACGCACACAAAGAAAUCAAAAAGAGACGAAGAAAGCAGUAAGAAAUAUAUUAUUUUAGGUGAUUCUUCGAUUUCUAUUAUUUUUUUCUCUCUUCUUUGAUUUGUUUUUUUUUUAUUUACAUACGAAUAUAAAAAGGGAAGAGGGAAAGGUCUUACCUACGCGAGCGCCGUCGAAACCUCGUCGAUUCCGUUCAAAUCGGUUUAGAUGAGGAAUUUC